AAAAGUGUCCACAUAUUGUAAUCAGCUGUAGCGCCAUUUUGUAGUUUAGUUAUCCAUUAUUUGUUAGCAAUAAAUAUUAAUAUAUAGAAAACAAGUCUACUACGAUAAUUUAGUUUUAAAGAUAAUGGGAGUGUGCUGUGUUCAUAAUUGUAAUAAAACAAAUAAAAUAGAAUCUAAUACACAUAUUUCUUAUCAUAAAUUUCCAUUAAAAUCCAAAUAAUUAUUGGAAAAAUGGUUACAGGCUAUAAAUAGGAAAAAUUUUAUGCCUAAUAAAUAUAGUAUUAUUUGUGGAAGGCAUUUUAAAAAUACUUGUUUCAUUCAUACUUUAUCCGGAAAGAUUUUAUUGAAGGAAUCAAUUCCAUCGAUAUUUAGUAUAUCUAAGCCACUUCAUGAUAAAACGAAUGUUUAUUCAAAUAACAUACAAACACCAUUAAAAAGUGAUAUAUUAUAUGAAAAUGAUCCAAUUAUACAUAUAAUAAAUGAUCAUAAUUAUUCCGCGACAUAUGAAACAUUAAAAAGAAAAAUUAUUUACCAAGAGGCUAUUAUUAAACGCUUAAAAAAGGGCACAUGCUUAUUAUAGGAGCUCAAAAAGAGGAAAAAAUAAAAUAAUCAAUUUACAAACAAUAAUCACUUCACUAAAAGAUGAAAAUUUGUUAAUAUUCCUUAAAACACAUAUACACAGUGGAGGCAUCUCAAACCCACAAAAAAAUAUAUACAAAUGAAUUCCGUCAAUUUGCAUUGACUAUGCAUUUUUAUUCACCUAAGGCUUACAGAUAUCUCAAAUCACGCUUUUGUAUGCCUCCAGAAUCCACAUUAAGGGCAUGGAGUCGCAAGAUUGAAAUCAUGCCAGGUUUAUUAUAAUAAUUUAAAAAAAAUAAAUUAAAUUAAAUAAAGGUUUCCUUUCUAUUUCAUUUACUUAAAUUAAAAGCUACCAAAAAAAAUCAGAAAAGCAGUUAUAUUGUGUACUUAGCCUUGAUGAAAUGCAUAUUAAAACUCAAAUAGAUUAUGGCCCCCACAAAGCAGAAUAUCAUGGUUAUGUUGAUUUAGGUGAUGGGAAAAAAUCAACAAAAGAAGAUAAAUCUUGUCCAGAAGCAACAAAGGCACUGUUUCUUAUGGCUACCUGUCUUAAUAGCAGCUGGUAAAUGCCAAUAGCCUAUUUUCUAGUUUCACAAAUGAAUUCAGAUAUCCUAGCUAUUUAGUGAGAGUUGCAUUGUUCAAUCUAAAUGAAACAGGAGUUAUCUGUAAGGCCAUAGUAUGUGAUGGUUGUGCUGUUAAUAAAAAAAUGAGCAAACUGCUUGGUGUUAGUAUGGAUCAGUUGCGUAGCUACGGGGGUGGUUUUCAGGUUUGGACCCCUCCCAGAGAAAAAUUUUUUUUUUUAGAUUUUAUGUUCUAAAGACAUAAAAGUGACUAAUACCAUUGAUAUUUAUAUUUUUCUGGUUUUGAUGUUUGUGGAAGGAUAUUAUAUUACUAUUGAAAUUAUUCUGGAUAGUAUUAUUAUAAAGUCAUUGAGAAUAAUCGACUAAAUUAUAAUAACAUAUUAUUGAUGCAUUUAAAAAAUAUAUUUAUUAUAUAUUAUCGAAGAUAUGGUUAUGAUUUUGCAUUUUAUAUGUAUGGACCCCCUCUAAGAAAAAUUCCUAGCUAUGCCACUGGUAUGGAUCCUGAUAAUAUCAUUCCAUAUAUUGAGCUGGAAUUUUAUGAAUCGUAAAAAAUAUAUAUGUUACUAGAUGUUUGUCAUAUGCUCAAAUUACUUAGAAAUCUAUUAGCGGAGUACUAAAUUUAUUAAUAUGUUCAAAUUUUCAAAAUAAUCAUGACGAUGAUUUUAAUUCUAUCAAAACUAUUUCAAAUCCAAUAAUACCCCAGGCAUUAUCUUAUUAUUUUAGCCAAACAAAUCCUCAUAUCACAAAAUUAUCAUUAUAUUUAGAUAAUUUAACAACUUAUAUUUUGGGAUAUAUAGUACAACAACUUAUUAAAGAAAAAAAGGUACGAUGUGAUGUUUGCAUUAAUGCAAUGGUCAGUGAUUCAUAUAUUGAUAAUAAUAUAAAUAAUAUGCUCAUAAAUUUUAAAAAUAAUAGGGGGUUAGUGAUUCCUUCUUCUAGUAUGUCAUGCAGAAUUUGUGAAAGUUCAUUUAGAACUUAUCAAAAUGAUAUUAAACGUAAAAAUAUUAUUAAAAAAAUGGAAGUGUUGGUUUUUUCCACAAUAAUUGGUACAAAUAUUUUUAUUGAUCUUACUGAACAUAUUAAUGAUGAGAUUGGUUACAGCCAUUUUCAAAUUCUUGUAAAAUUAAUUGUUCAAAGAUAUUUAAAUAUUAGAUUUUUUCAUUUUGCUGACUUGAGAAACCAGGAAUUGAGAACUGGUAUGAGGCAAAAUCUUACAAAAGCAAUACAAUUUAAUAAUCAUUAAGUCAUGUGAUGAUAGAAUCAAAAAGGAUGAAUGUUUAUAAUCAAAGAUAAUAUGAAUGUGAAUUAUCACAUUAUUAAAAAUACAUUUUGUUUUUUAAAGUGUACACAUUUAUAUUUUUAUAUAUUUUGUAUAAACCUUAUUUAAAUGAUUUAUAUAAUAAUUUAUACUCAUGCAAAAAAUGUUAUUAUUACACUAUGUUUUUAUUGAAAAAAAAAUAAAAGA